rnacentral:rRNA from 1 species
CUACGGGUGGCUCCAGUGAGGAAUAUUGCACAAUGGGGGGAACCCUGAUGCAGUAACGCCGCGUGGAGGAUGACGCAUUUCGGUGUGUAAACUCCUUUUAUAUGUCAAGAAAAUGACGGUAGCAUAUGAAUAAGCACCGGCUAACUCCGUGCCAGCAGCCGCGGUAAUACGGAGGGUGCAAGCGUUACUCGGAAUCACUGGGCGUAAAGGACGCGUAGGCGGGUUGGAAAGUCAGGUGUGAAAUCCUACAGCUUAACUGUAGAACUGCACUUGAAACUUCUAAUCUAGAGUAUGCGAGGGGGAGAUGGAAUUAGUGGUGUAGGGGUAAAAUCCGUAGAUAUCACUAGGAAUACCUAAAGCGAAGGCGAUCUCCUGGAACAUUACUGACGCUAAGGCGUGAAAGCGUGGGGAGCAAACAGGAUUAGAUACCCCAGUAGUC